UACGUAGGGUGCAAGCGUUAAUCGGAAUACUGGGCGUAAAGCGUGCGCAGGCGGUGAUGUAAGACAGAUGUGAAAUCCCCGGGCUCAACCUGGGAACUGCAUUUGUGACUGCAUCGCUGGAGUACGGCAGAGGGGGAUGGAAUUCCGCGUGUAGCAGUGAAAUGCGUAGAUAUGCGGAGGAACACCGAUGGCGAAGGCAAUCCCCUGGGCCUGUACUGACGCUCAUGCACGAAAGCGUGGGGAGCAAACAG
rnacentral:rRNA from 1 species